CUGACACAGGGAGGUAGUGACAAGAAAUAUCAAUAGAGGGCAUUUAUAUGUCUUCUAAUUGGAAUGAGAACAAGGUAAACAGCUUAUCGAGGAUCCAGCAGAGGGCAAGUCUGGUGCCAGCAGCCGCGGUAAUUCCAGCUCUGUAAGCGUAUACCAAAGUUGUUGCAGUUAAAACGCUCGUAGUCGGAUUUUGGCGUGGCCCGUGCUGUGCGCGUAGUGCGUGCGGCGCUGGGACGCGCUUUUGUGGAGGGCGGCGCGUUGUGGCUUCACUGUCGCGGCGUGUCGGCGCCACCGUUUACUGUGAAAAAAUUAGAGUGUUCAAAGCAGGCGUUUGCCGUGAAUACAUUAGCAUGGAAUAAUAGAAUAGGACUUGGUUUCUAUUUUGUUGGUUUGUGAGAGCCGAGUAAUGAUUAAGAGGGACGGUUGGGGGCAUUUGUAUUCCAGCGUCAGAGGUGAAAUUCUUGGAUUGCUGGAAGACAAACCGCUGCGAAAGCGUCUGCCAAGGACGUUUUCAUUGAUCAAGAACGAAAGUAAGGGGAUCGAAGACGAUCAGAUACCGUCGUAGUCUUUACUAUAAACGAUGAGAACUGGGGAUCGGGCGGGCAUUACGAAGACCCGUCCGGAACCCUCCGGGAAACCAAAGUGUUUGCUUUCUGGGGGGAGUAUGGUCGCAAGGCUGAAACUUAAAGGAAUUGACGGAAGGGCAUCACCGGGUGUGGAGCCUGCGGCUUAAUUUGACUCAACACGGGAAAACUUACCAGGUCCGGACAUAGUGAGGAUUGACAGAUUGAGAGCUCUUUCUUGAUUCUAUGGUUGGUGGUGCAUGGCCGUUCUUAGUUGGUGGAGUGAUUUGUCUGGUUAAUUCCGUUAACGAGCGAGACCUGGGCGUGCUAACUAGGGGCCGCUACAUUUUUGUAGCUGCUUGUCCCUUCUUAGACGGACUGCGGGCGUCUAGUCCGCGGAAGCUCCAGGCAAUAACAGGUCUGAGAUGCCCUUAGAUGUUCUGGGCCGCACGCGCGCUACACUGAGCGGACCAACGGGUGAGGAUGCGCGAGAGCGUUUCCCAAUCCCCAAAUCCGCUCGUGCUGGGGAUAGAGGCUUGCAAUUUUCCCUCUUGAACGAGGAAUACCUUGUAAGCGUGGGUCAUCAGCCCGCGCUGAAUACGUCCCUGCCCUUUGUACACACCACCCGUCGCUCCUACCGAUUGAGUGAUCCGGUGAGGCUUUGGGACCGCUGCGAUCGGAGCGUCUACGCUCUGGCCGCGGUGGAAACUUAUCCGAACCUUAUCACUUAGAGGAAGGAGAA
rnacentral:rRNA from 1 species